rnacentral:rRNA from 1 species
GACGAACGCUGGCGGCGUGCUUAACACAUGCAAGUCGAACGGUAAGGCCCUUCGGGGUACACGAGUGGCGAACGGGUGAGUAACACGUGGGUGAUCUGCCCUGCACUUCGGGAUAAGCCUGGGAAACUGGGUCUAAUACCGGAUAGGACUCCUGGCUUCAUGGUUGGGGGUGGAAAGCUUUUGCGGUGUGGGAUGGGACCGCGGCCUAUCAGCUUGUUGGUGGGGUAAUGGCCUACCAAGGGGAAGACGGGUAGCCGGCCUGAGAGGGUGACCGGUCACACUGGGACUGGGAUACGGCCCAGACGCCUACGGGAGGCAGCAGUGGGGAAUAUUGCACAAUGGGCGCAAGCCUGAUGCAGCGACGCCGCGUGAGGGAUGACGGCCUUCGGGUUGUAAACCUCUUUCAGCUAUGACGAAGCGCAAGUGACGGUAGUAGCAGAAGAAGGACCGGCAAACUACGUGCCAGCAGCCGCCGUAAGAC